rfam:Oryza nivara chromosome 3, whole genome shotgun sequence.
AAUAAGUGCAAUUUUGCACUAUUCACAUUCAACGUUUGGCCGUUCGUCUUAUUUGAAAUUUUUUUAUAAUUAGUAUUUUUAUUGCUAUUAGAUGAUAAAACAUGAAUAGUACUUUAUGUGUGACUAAAUAUUUUCAAAUUUUUCACAAUUUUUUCAAGGCAAAUUUUGCUACAGGACAUCGCAAUUGUG